rnacentral:rRNA from 1 species
GAUGAACGCUGGCGGCGUGCCUAAUACAUGCAAGUCGAGCGAACAGACGAGGAGCUUGCUCCUCUGACGUUAGCGGCGGACGGGUGAGUAACACGUGGAUAACCUACCUAUAAGACUGGGAUAACUUCGGGAAACCGGAGCUAAUACCGGAUAAUAUAUUGAACCGCAUGGUUCAAUAGUGAAAGACGGUUUUGCUGUCACUUAUAGAUGGAUCCGCGCCGGAUUAGAUAGUUGGUAAGGUAACGGCUUACCAAGGCAAGGAUGCGUUGCCGACGGGAGAGGCUGGUAGCCCACCUGGGAGCUGGGACACGGUCCAGACUCCUGCGAGACGGCGCAGUCGCCAACCGUCGGCAGCAGGCGAAAGUAUGGCGGAGCAGGGCCACGUGAGAUAUGGCGGUCUUCCGAUCGUAAAGCUCUCUUACUGGGGGUGAACAACUGUGUACGUAACCAUGCCCUUCUUGACGGUACCUAAUCAGAAAGCCCCGGCUAACUACGUG